rnacentral:lncRNA from 1 species
UGUAUUUUUAAAUGGUUUUUGCUGGAUUUCGUAAACUGGAAUAGACGGUUAUAACAAUUAAUAUAGUAGUAAUCAGGCGCUUUCCGAGAUGUCUCUUCGCCUUCCUCGUGUCGCCUACCAGCUCGUGGAGUUCCAGCUUGGCUACCUUUACGAGCCCAAAGACGCCUCCGGAACUACGUUUUCCACAAUGCAUCGCGAGCCCUGUAUAUUUUUAGGGCUGAUCCUAUACCGCGAGAGGUCGCGCCGUUUUCACGAAAGGAAACGAGUGAGAAGCGAGUGGUCGGCUUGUUCGUUCACACCUGCUUAAAAGAAGUAUCCGAAAGUAUCCCAUUUCAUUUGUGUUUGUAAACUUGUUCUGACUAGUUUACAUGAAACGUCGGUGCUAUGUAGAUACGGAAAAAAAUAUUCGGCCCACGGAGGCCACCCCCGAUCACGUGGCCCUCAAAAAGGACCGUUGUGGCUCCCGCUCGUCGCGAGACUUGGCGUGUUGUUUCGCCUCGUGGCGAAGAGACCCGGGCGCGGGUGCGCGCGCGAUUCGUUUAGAACCGGCUGCGAUUGAGGGCACUCAAAGCACGAUCGGACAGGCCUCGACUUGCCAGGGGGGGACACAAACAGCGCUUCCCUUAAACGGACUCUCAGACUGCAAAGGAUUGAAGGCCAAAGACAAAGAAAACCAAAAGAAACCAUUGCAAUCAAACCUGCUAAUGUUCCUGUUUCAGUCAAAGAAGUAUCCAAAGCACUGUCUGUCUCGCAAGAGGCUGAGCAAAAACUGGGAGACGCUGAGGAGGAGUUCAUGGUAA